rnacentral:rRNA from 1 species
GAUGAACGCUGGCGGCGUGCCUAAUACAUGCAAGUCGAGCGAAUGGAUUAAGAGCUUGCUCUUAUGAAGUUAGCGGCGGACGGGUGAGUAACACGUGGGUAACCUGCCCAUAAGACUGGGAUAACUCCGGGAAACCGGGGCUAAUACCGGAUAACAUUUUGAACCGCAUGGUUCGAAAUUGAAAGGCGGCUUCGGCUGUCACUUAUGGAUGGAACCGCGUCGCAUUAGCUAGUUGGUGGGGUAACGGCUCAACAAAGCAACGAUGCGUAGCCGACCUUGGAGGGUGAUCGGCCACACUGGGACUGAGACACGGCCCAGACUCCUACGGUAGGCAGCAGUAGGGAAUCUUCCGCAAUGGACGAAAGUCUGACGGAGCAACGCCGCUUGAGUGAUGAAGGCUUUCGGGUCGUAAAACUCUGUUGUUAGGGAAGAACAAGUGCUAGUUGAAUAAGCUGGCACCUUGACGGUACCUAACCAGAAAGCCACGGCUAACUACGUGCCAGCCGCCGCGGUAA